UCUUCCUCUUCCAUUUUUGGUGACGUGCCAAUCAUCUUAUAACUGAUUUAUUGAAUGAGUGUCC
ensembl:ncRNA T05B11.11 ncRNA